GCUCAGAUUGAACGCUGGCGGCAGGCCUAACACAUGCAAGUCGAGCGGAUGAAGGGAGCUUGCUCCUGGAUUCAGCGGCGGACGGGUGAGUAAUGCCUAGGAAUCUGCCUGGUAGUGGGGGAUAACGUCCGGAAACGGGCGCUAAUACCGCAUACGUCCUGAGGGAGAAAGUGGGGGAUCUUCGGACCUCACGCUAUCAGAUGAGCCUAGGUCGGAUUAGCUAGUUGGUGGGGUAAAGGCCUACCAAGGCGACGAUCCGUAACUGGUCUGAGAGGAUGAUCAGUCACACUGGAACUGAGACACGGUCCAGACUCCUACGGGAGGCAGCAGUGGGGAAUAUUGGACAAUGGGCGAAAGCCUGAUCCAGCCAUGCCGCGUGUGUGAAGAAGGUCUUCGGAUUGUAAAGCACUUUAAGUUGGGAGGAAGGGCAGUAAGUUAAUACCUUGCUGUUUUGACGUUACCAACAGAAUAAGCACCGGCUAACUUCGUGCCAGCAGCCGCGGUAAUACGAAGGGUGCAAGCGUUAAUCGGAAUUACUGGGCGUAAAGCGCGCGUAGGUGGUUCAGCAAGUUGGAUGUGAAAUCCCCGGGCUCAACCUGGGAACUGCAUCCAAAACUACUGAGCUAGAGUACGGUAGAGGGUGGUGGAAUUUCCUGUGUAGCGGUGAAAUGCGUAGAUAUAGGAAGGAACACCAGUGGCGAAGGCGACCACCUGGACUGAUACUGACACUGAGGUGCGAAAGCGUGGGGAGCAAACAGGAUUAGAUACCCUGGUAGUCCACGCCGUAAACGAUGUCGACUAGCCGUUGGGAUCCUUGAGAUCUUAGUGGCGCAGCUAACGCGAUAAGUCGACCGCCUGGGGAGUACGGCCGCAAGGUUAAAACUCAAAUGAAUUGACGGGGGCCC
rnacentral:rRNA from 1 species